CAAUGAUCUGUCCUUUAGGGUUUAAAAGCGCAUCCCAGGAGCAAGUCUUUCAUUCUCCAUGAAGUUCUGAGCUGCGAGAGUCCAGCAACUCUCUGAACCCAGGCAGCCUGUGAGUAACUGCACAGCCAGGAAGCAGCUGCUUUCAAGAGGAUGAAGCCGAUGAGCUUGUGAUGCAUGGAGAGUGGAAAUGCAGCUGCCACGGGAAGGAUGCACCAUGUGAAGACAGGACCUCCACCGUCAGAUGGAGAUGCUUUGUCCCUGGACCUUGGAUUAUAAUAUCUGAAAACCUAGGAGAGCAGGUGUAAUCAUCUUGAUGACUACAGUUAGCCAUCUAUAAAACUGGGAGAGAUGUGGCCCCGUGGAGCGGAGCAGUGGGCAGGAGCCACACAGAUGCAUCACUCAGUUCUGGCUGUCUAAACAUCUUAAGCUUAAAGCUACAUUCCCUCAGAAGUGAGAAUACCUUUACCCACUAAUAAAACUAAGUGCGGCUUUUAUUUGGUAUGACGGCAGUGUUACCAGUCAGGAUAAUGGUUGUGUAUCGCUGCUGAUAAUGACCUCCCGAUGCUGAAGAGGGAACAUCCUGGCAGGAAGCAGAGGAGCAGACCCCUGAUUCCCCCUGCAGACAGGACAGGUGAAGCUCCUAAACAAAGAUAAGCUGGGACACGUAUGGAGGCAGAGGGCGCGGGCUCCCAGCCGGGACACGCAUGGAGGCAGAGGGCGCGGGCUCCCAGCCGGGACACGCAUGGAGGCAGAGGGCACGGGUUCCCAGCCCAGCCGAGCUACACACGGAAGAGCAGCAACCUGCAGCUGAAGACUCAAACAUCUGGGGUCUGAGAAGAGGGGUCAGCGUUUCCAGGAAAAACACUUAAGGGAAAUGCUGCAAAGUAAUAAAAAUUGGAUGUAGCUUGGUAUUCAGUAUAUAAACUUCAGAGAUAUCAUCUCAUCAUGGUUAUCAUUAGACAAAUACGGAAACUGAGAAGCUAAAUGGCUUUGUAAAGAGAGCGUGAAUAGUUUUAAAAUGUCAAAACAGGCAAUCUGGCUUGUAGUUCUGAUAUUAAUAUUUCACCCACAGAUUUUAAUACGUUAGAAAAUUUCUGCUUAAGAUACACAUGUAUAAUAUUUCCUCUGAUGUUAUAUUCUUUAAUGCAGUUUAAUUCUAAACACUUACUGAAUGUCUACUAUGUGCAUCCAAUCUGCUAAGAGCAUGUUUCUAAAUCUGCCUGACUAUAAGAUUUAGCAAUGAUACACUGAAAGUAUAAAUUCAUGUGCUUCAGUUAUGGGUAAAGAAUCAAAGAUUUGAGCAUAGAGACUUAUUUAAUUAUGUAAUAAAUAUUGCAGGUGACUUCAUAAUCUAGAAGUUCAGGGAGACAUGGUCUCUAAAAUUCCCCAGCUUUCUUUAGAGUACCUGGAGGGCUUUAAAAUUCCAAAGUGCCUUUGGCCCCAGCCCCCUGUGGUCACUCCAGCUGAGACAGCAUUGGCUUACUUUGGGGUGCCUUUGCAUUUGGUUUUACUUUAAUUCAUGUACUUCAGGGAUAGAAGAAGGUUUCGAGACUUCUUUUUUAUGCCAUUCAUUGUGGAAUUCAAGGAAAUAUCAUGGAAAAAUACCAUUCAAAAAUUUACAUUAAUGCAUAUUAAAAAUCUGUCACAUCACAAGUACUUCUUAAGUUUAUCAAAGUGAUUAGAUUAUUAUUUAUAUUUUAUCAAUGUAAGUUUUGAAAUAUAAGAAAUGUGCUUAGACUCCUAGGACUUGAAAAGUAUACAAAUACUACAGCUAUAUUUGAGCCAAGUGUGUUAGUACACAACUACAGCGUCAGCAUUGGGGGUGGGGGCCAGGAGGAUACGAAGUAGAAGUACAGGGUUAUCCUCGGUUACACAGAAAUUUGAAGCCUGCAUGGCUACACAAGACUGUCUUAAAAAGAAAAAUCGUAAACAAAUAAGCAAGCACAAACCUAGAUUGCUUGAACGUGAAAUCUAAGCCUUUGUUAUUUUGGUGACGCACUCUGGAUGUGUCUGGUGCCCGCAGAGACGAUGUCUUGUUACAUACAGAAUCGCCUAAAUGUGUGAAGGGGGCAAGUGAAUCAAGAAAACCACAUUGACAUUUUUCCACAUAAAGGACUGGAAUGAAGAACAGAAAGGCAAGAGAUAAAAAUCUGGGCUGUGAGGUGGGCGAGAGGAGCAUGCACACAAGCAGCGAAAACUAACUCUGCCGAGAGAGGCUGUAACUCUGCCGAGAGAGGCUGCGGAGCCUCAGCCUCUGACCACUGAGGUGAACGGGUCAGGCAGAGCAGGGCUCUUUUAGAAUGGAAAACCUUACAUAUGGAAAACAUGAAAGAAAACCACCUUGGAUUGGAGAAUCAGAGCUUAAAUAUUUACCUAGGCUUUGGAGGUUAAACUUUUUUCAAUUUUCAUCUUGCUCGUUUCUGUUAAUAUAUUACCCUAAAUUAUAUAGGGCGUAUUGAGGUCAAUGCCAUAAUUCCCAAGGAGUCCUGAAACUGCUGAACAGUCAUUGUGCUGGGACUUUAAGAGCACAGGGCAAUGUUUGUUUUUCCCAGCAAGUGAAAUUCCAGAGCUUCUUGACUAGACAAACAGUGCAAACAUUUAUCCUCAAAAAAAAAAAAAAAAAAAAAAUGCUUCAACAGACGUUGCAUCUAGAAUCUUAGUUCAGCAACACAAUUUUAGUACUUUUUUGAACAACCAGAGAAUAUAGUUGGGUGUUGGCUGCCUAAAAAUAGCUUGUCUCUCUUACUACAUGAAGGAGUUAUACUUAUUAUCAUAGGUCUUCUAAACGGAACAGCCAUUGGAAAAUAGCAUAUGAGAACAUAAAUAAGGGAGACAGGAAAGCCUUGACUCUAGAAACAUUGGUUGUGAUGAGUUACUUAACACAGAGCCUGAGAUAGAACUGCCACUUAGAUUAUGUUUCUACACAGCAUAUAGUUUAUCAUAUCCACAAUCACUAAACUGUGAUAAACACUAAGGAAACUCUGUAGAGUUACUUUGCAUGUGAUUGAAUGAAAUACAUGCAAUAAAAUUUCAACAUUAUCAAUAUAUUGUGAAGAUAGGAAUUCCUUUGUCCUUUAAUUAUUGCUUAGGCAUCAAAUGUGUUCCGUGCUGUGUGCUAAUAAUACUGUGCAAGCAAGGUAGGUGCUCCCUACACUCAAUCAAUAAUCACACAUGCAUGUAACUGAUAUGAUAAAUACACCGGUGUGUCUGCUAAGAAGUCCUCAGUUUUGAGGAGGAAUAUUUUAAUUGAACAACUUUUUAUAGACACGAAAAAAGUUAAAUAGUUAAGAAAGUCUAUUUAAAUUCAAACCUAUGUGAAUCUAUGUGGGGAAGUUAAUUUAUAACCGUAGAAUUGUAUCUUAACAGAAAAAUAAAUGCUAGCUUAUAUAAUAAAUAUUGUAGAUGUGAAUAUCUGUUUAAAUUUUGAUAAAGUAUGGAAAACUAUUGAUGAAUACACACACACACAUACACUCUCUCACACACAUAUAUAUUCUUUAUUAGAAUUUUACUGCUGUGAAAAGGCACCAUGAGCAAGAAACUCUUAUAAAAGAAAACAUUUAACUGUGGCUGGUUUACAGUUUCAGAGGUUUAGUCCAUUAUGCUAUUGUCAUGGUGGGACACAGGGCAGCACGCAGGCAGAGGCAGUGCUGGAGAAGGAGCUGAGAGUUGUACAUCUGGAGAGCAGUCAGCAGGAAGUGAAUGCUACACUGGCCAUGGCUUGAGCAUGUGAAGCCUCACCCGGCCCCAAGUGACACACUUUUUCUCUAAAAGGCCACACUUACACCAACAGGCAGAGGUGUCAUUCUAUGUCUCCUCUCUGUAUAAAAUCUGAAGUGUAAGUAAUCUGCACUUGGAAAUUGUAUAUGAAAUAUUAGCACACUUAAGGUUUGUGCAUGGAGGAAGACAAUUACCUUCCUGGAUAGAUGGGUAAAGGUUAUUAUUUUAUCUCAGUGUCUGGCAAAGCUUCAGUAGCUCAGCAGAGGAAGACACAAUAGAAAUAAUGAUUUGUCAAAGCUUUAUGUCAAUUUCUCCACUAAACUGUCAGUUCAGUUGUCUAAUAGAGAGGAAUACACACAAAAUAUGAGACAUUUUAUAAUGUUAAAUAUAUACAUUUAAUAAAUGACAGAAAGUUAAUACUAAAUGGAUUUGUUAUUUGCAAAAUUGGAAAUAGUUUGGUUAUUCUAAGGACAUUUGUAACAUUACUAAUUUUUAAAAUGCCAAUAAAUUUAUCUCUUUAACCUAAUAAGUAAAAACCGUUGGUGUAAUUAUAACUGAAAACUUCCUUGGAUUUGUAUUUGUUUGUCACUCAGAACCUGAGUAUAUUCAACCUAGUGACCCACAGAACUACAUUUAUUUACCCAAGCUUCUAGAAAGUUAUAGUAGAAAGCUAUUUUUUCUUUUCUUUUUAAAAAUUUUCUAUAUUCUUUGUUUACAUUCCAAAUUAUUUCCCCUUUUCCAGUUCUCCCCUCCCCAUAUGUCCCAUAAGCCUUCUUCUCUCCACCCAUUCUCCAAACACCUCCCUCCUUUUUCUCUGUCCUGGUAAUCCCCUACAAUGCUGGAUCAAGCCUUUCCCAGAUCAGGGCCCUCUCCUUACUUCUUCAUGGGAGUCAUUUGUUAUUCUAAUUGUGUCUUGGGUAUUCAGAGCUUCUGGGCUAAUUAAAAUCCACUUAUCAGUGACUGCAUUCCAUGUGUAUUCUUUUGUGAUUGGGUUACCUCACUUAGGAUUUUGCUUAAGAAUUUCAUGAAUUCAUUGUUUUCAAUUGCUGAGUAGUAUUCUGUUGUGUAAAUAUACCAUAUUUUCUGUAUCCAUUCCUCCAUUGAGGGACAUCUGGGUUCUUUCCAGCU